GCUUGGAUGGCUCAGUUGGUUAGAGCGCAGGUCUCAUAUUACAUUAUGAGUGAUCAGAUGAUCAUCCAAUCCUGAGGUCGUGAGUUCGAUCCUCACUCCGAGCA
rnacentral:tRNA from 1 species